rnacentral:miRNA from 1 species
AAUUAAACCUCCUAAUGUUGCUAAAUGAACAGAGUAUUGGGUUGGCCAAAAAGUUCAUUCAGGUUUUUCCGAAACCCUUAUCAACUUAUUGGUCAACCCAAUAC